rnacentral:rRNA from 1 species
UACGGAGGGGGCAAGCGUUGUUCGGAAUCAUUGGGCGUAAAGGGCGUGUAGGCGGUCGAUCAAGUCGGAGGUGAAAUCCCUCGGCUCAACUGAGGAAUUGCCUUCGAUACUGUUCGGCUUGAGUCCUGGAGAGGGUAGCGGAAUUCCCGGUGUAGCGGUGAAAUGCGUAGAGACCGGGAAGAACACCAGUGGCGAAGGCGGCUACCUGGACAGGUACUGACGCUAACAGCGCGAAAGCUAGGGGAGCAAACGGG